UAAAAAGGUUUUUCGUUAGGUGAACCUUGCCGGAGGAUCAUUA
rnacentral:rRNA from 1 species